rnacentral:rRNA from 1 species
GAUGAACGCUAGCGGCAGGCUUAACACAUGCAAGUCGAGGGGUAUGGUUCUUCGGAACCAGAGACCGGCGCACGGGUGCGUAACGCGUAUGCAAUCUACCUUUUACAGAGGGAUAGCCCAGAGAAAUUUGGAUUAAUACCUCAUAGUAUUAUGAAAUGGCAUCAUUUUAUAAUUAAAGUCACAACGGUAAAAGAUGAGCA